rnacentral:tRNA from 1 species
AAAGUUUUAAGUUAAAUAAACUAAUAGCCUUCAAAGUUAUAAAUAAAAAUAUUAUUUUUAAGCUUUA